ACCGUCACUCUCAUCACUCACUAUUCACUAAUCUCACCACCACAAAAACCAGACCCUCCGUGCCACCGCCGCUCGGAAUCGUACUUUCACGAUGGCCGUGGAAGAGAAAGCCACCGACGUGUCAGGCAUUGACGACGACGACCUGGACGAGGAGCCCGGGGAGGAGAUCGAAUCGGCACCGCCUCUCAAAGUCGGCGAGGAGAGAGAAUUCCCCACCUACGGCCUGAAGAAGAAGCUCCUCAAGUCCGGCACCGGCUGGGAGAGCCCCGAGGUCGGCGACGAAGCCGCCGUGCACUAUGUUGGAUCUUUGAUGGAUGGAACGAAGUUCGAGUCUACUAGAGAGAGGGAGGAGCCGGUGACGGUUAAGAUCGGUGAGGGUGAAGUUGUGAAGGGGUUGGAGCAUGGGAUGGUCACUAUGAAGAAGGGAGAGGUUGCGUUGUUUACUGUGCCUGCUGAGCUGGCAUAUGGUGUUGCUGGCCGCGGCGAUGAUGUGCAGCCGAAUGAGGCUGUUCGGUUUGAGGUGGAGCUUAUUUCGUGGAUUAGGGUGGUGGAUUUGAGCAGAGAUGGUGGGAUUGUGAAGAAGAUUUUGGAGAAAGGGAAGGGGAGUGAGAGUCCUGGUGAUUUGGAUCAAGUUCUUGUCAAGUAUCGGGCGGCGUUGGUUGAUGGCACCGUUGUUGCAGAAACACCAGAGGAAGGAAUUGAGUUCUACGUGAAAGAUGGUCAUUUUUGUCCAGCAUUGCCAAAAUCAAUCAGGACAAUGAAAAGGGGAGAGAAGGCAAGGUUAAUUGUUCAACCUCAAUAUGCCUUCGGGGAGGAGGGGAGGGAUGCAAACAAUGGGUUUCAGUCUAUCCCUCCAGCUUCUGUGCUGAACAUUGAUAUUGAAUUGAUGUCUUUCAAGCCUGUAAUUGAUGUUACUGGUGAUGGAAAGGUAUUAAAGAAAAUUUUGAAAGAAGGGGAGAGUACAUCCAGCGCUCAUGAAGGUGCAACUGUUACUGUUAGCUAUAUAGCUAGGCUUGAAGAUGGUACUGUAUUUGAGAAGAGAGGAGUAGAUGGAUCGCAGCCUUUGGAAUUUAUCACGGAUGAAGAACAAGUGAUUGCUGGUUUUGACCGAGCAGUUGCUACGAUGAAAAAGGGAGAGCAGGCAAUAUUGACAAUACAUCCUGAUUUUGGAUUUGGAAGUGUUGAAGUAAGGCGGGACCUGGCUGUAGUUCCACCAUCUUCAAGUAUAGUCUUUGAGGUGGAAAUGCUAGAUUUUAUCAAGGAAAGAGCACCAUGGGAAUUGAGCAAUCAAGAGAAAAUUGAGGCAGCUGGAAGGAAGAAAGAGGAAGGCAACCUUCUCUUUAAAAUUGGGAAGUAUCAUCGAGCAGGAAAGAAAUAUGAGAAGGCUGCUGAUUAUGUUAGUGAAGAUGUAAUCUUCGGGGAUGAUGAGUUAAAGCUAGCAAAACCAUUAAGAGUGUCUAGCUGGUUGAAUGGUGCAGCAUGUAGCCUAAAAUUAAAUGACUUUCAGGAAGCACUAAAACUAUGUUCAAAGGUUCUAGAUGUUGAAUUUCACAAUGUGAAAGCCUUGUACAGACGGGCACAAGCAUAUAUGGAACUUUCAGAUUUGUUCUCGGCUGAGUUAGACAUCAAGAAAGCUCUGGAGAUUGAUUCCCAGAACAGGGAGGUCAAGGUGAUUGAGAAAAAACUGAAACAACUUAAAGCUGAAAGCAAUAAGAGGGAUGCUAAGCUCUACACAAACAUGUUUGCAAAGAAACUGAAAGUCGAGAAAGUGGAGAUCGAGAAACAAGACGAAGCUGGCUGUGGCAAUGGAAAUAGCUGCUGCUAGUACUCUGGCUUCUUCUCCCCAAAGUGGAGUGAUUGUUGAAUCUUGUACAAAUAUCUCAUAGUAAUAGAGAGGAAGGAGUCUCCGGUUUCAGCAGUAAUUGGGGGUACUCUUGUAAUAGCUGGUAUGAAGGGUUCAAAUCUAACGACCUGUACUAGCUUCUUCAAUUAUGAAUCUGGUAUAUAUAUGUAUAAAUAUCAAAUGCUCUACUAGCUUCUCCAGCUUUGGAUCUUGAGCAUUUGCACGUAAACAUAAACAAAAACCAGGAAGGUGGAACCAAGCAUAUUCAAUUUGUAGUGAACAAUCAUCAUUGUGAUGAGUGAAUUUUACCCUUGUGGGGGGCCUGGUUUAAGGGCAGUUCUAGCCAUAGUGCAGGUAAUGCUUCCAAACUGGCCAAGCUCACCACGAACAGCUCCGAGCUUCUCUUCUGAACAUCGGCUGUGGAAAAGUUCUUCUGCUGCUUGUUCCAGCAUGUUCCAGACCAAGCAGGCUCGUGAGAUGCAGAAGACGCUGUAUAUUUGUUUACACAAAGAAAUGACGAUAUAUAGAACACAUAAGAGAGAGUAAGCACUAUUAAUCAUUGUAUCUGCCUCCAUGACAAGUCUGGUCUUUUGCUUAUGCAUAGUUGCAUACCCCUCCCUUUAAGUGCAGCCAUUUAUAUUGCGAUGAUGAGCGAGGCCACC